GGGCCACAACCGAGGAAGCAGCGCCCACCCGGCUCCCCCGGCUGGAAAGCCCCGAAUUGAGGACACCACCUCCAGGAUCACGCUCCUCUGGCCCUGGGUUCAGAGCAUGACAUCAAUGUAGGGAGCCUCGGCCGGGUUGCCACUAGGACUCAGACCCGGUCACACUGAAUCAGGGAUUGCCAGGUCCUGGCUCCCUGGACGGCCUUGUCCCGGGUUCUCCCAUCGCUAGAAACAUUUUACUGGUAACAUUACUUGAGUUGAGAAGAUCCAUGUUCUUCCUAGGCGUUUCAGCCCCAUUCAGACAGCUGGGUGGCCUACCAAGCGUUGCCUGGGAGAAUUUUUUGUCACUUGAAAAAAGGAGUCCAUUCAUUCUCUACAAUUUCUAUAGCAUAUCUUAAUUAAAAUGCCAAGAAGAUAUACCCUAAGAAUGGAGACCAGAGCACUGGGGGCUGUGCAAAUCAUGAAUGGCCUAAUUUACUAUGCAUUGGGGUUUCUUUGUUUUGCAUUAUUUGUCUCAGAAGAGGACAGGAAACAAACUGGUCAUAUCCCUGUUGUUGUUACACUAAUUUACAUAUUUUGGUCAGCACCAUUUUUCAUCAGCUCAGGAUCCACCAGUGUACACGUACAGAAGCGUCCUACAAAAUACAAGCUUAUUUCUAGCCUUGUUAUGAACAUCUUAUGUACCUGCUUUUCUACAAUUGGUAUGAUUAUAUUUAUUAUUGCAUGUUUCACAUAUCAUCCAGAUGCCGAUGAAUAUAUUUGGACACAUUUGGCUGGUAGUAUGCUUUUACAAUAUUUACUCUUCUGCACCAUCACAGAAGUGAUCUGUACAUGGAUCAUUACCAGGUGGAUUGUAGCUGCAUUGUGUAACCCAGAAUACAGUGAAAAGAGUCCUUCACUCUCAGAAUCCACUGCCCCUACAUUAACGUACAGAGAACCAGUGUGACUCCAGUCAAGAACAAAAGUACAAAGAACCAGUGUGACUCCAGUCAAGAACAAAAGAUUAACUGUGAAUUAAUGAAGAACUCAGUAACUUUUUUCAAGAGGCCCAUGGAAAAUACAUGCUAAUGAAGUCCUUUCUGGUAUAUCUUCUC
rnacentral:lncRNA from 12 species